rnacentral:rRNA from 1 species
UACGUAGGCAGCGAGCGUUGUUCGGAAUUACUGGGCGUAAAGAGUGUGUAGGCGGUGCUCCCAGUCUGUUGUGAAAUCUCCCGGCUUAACUGGGAGGGUGCAGCGGAAACUAGAGUGCUAGAGGGUGGGAGAGGUAAGCGGAAUUCCUGGUGUAGCGGUGAAAUGCGUAGAUAUCAGGAGGAACACCGGUGGCGAAGGCGGGUCUCUGGGCAGUAACUGACGCUGAGGAGCGAAAGCGUGGGGAGCGAACAGG